CCAGGCGGUCAACUUAAUGCGUUAGCUGCGCCACUAAAAUCUCAAGGAUUCCAACGGCUAGUUGACAUCGUUUACGGCGUGGACUACCAGGGUAUCUAAUCCUGUUUGCUCCCCACGCUUUCGCACCUCAGUGUCAGUAUCAGUCCAGGUGGUCGCCUUCGCCACUGGUGUUCCUUCCUAUAUCUACGCAUUUCACCGCUACACAGGAAAUUCCACCACCCUCUACCGUACUCUAGCUCAGUAGUUUUGGAUGCAGUUCCCAGGUUGAGCCCGGGGCUUUCACAUCCAACUUGCUGAACCACCUACGCGCGCUUUACGCCCAGUAAUUCCGAUUAACGCUUGCACCCUUCGUAUUACCGCGGCUGCUGGCACGAAGUUAGCCGGUGCUUAUUCUGUUGGUAACGUCAAAACACUAACGUAUUAGGUUAAUGCCCUUCCUCCCAACUUAAAGUGCUUUACAAUCCGAAGACCUUCUUCACACACGCGGCAUGGCUGGAUCAGGCUUUCGCCCAUUGUCCAAUAUUCCCCACUGCUGCCUCCCGUAGGAGUCUGGACCGUGUCUCAGUUCCAGUGUGACUGAUCAUCCUCUCAGACCAGCUAUGGAUCGUCGCCUUGGUAGGCCUUUACCCCACCAACUAGCUAAUCCAACGCGGGCUCAUCCUUUCCCAAUAAAUCUUUCCCCCGAAGGGCUUAUACGGUAUUAGCACAAGUUUCCCUGCGUUAUUCCGUAGAAAAGGGUAGAUUCCCACGCGUUACUCACCCGUCUGCCGCUCCCCUUGCGGGGCGCUC
rnacentral:rRNA from 1 species